CACGGUUAGGCCUUAAGAUCCCUGACGUCACUGUGUUGUUCCUCGAGGUGCCGUCCUGCGGCUCCUAGUCUUCCCUGUGGCCCCACGGCUCGGGGCGCCCCCCUUUUCCCAAAACGGACAGCGGAGCUGGACUGGGAGCUGCGUCAUCCGGGUGGCGUGUGUCCGACCACCCACACAGAGGGUUGCGAAAGCGCGGCAGCCGCCGACGUCUCUGCGCAGAACCCCAGGGGCGGGCCUGGCGCGCCCUCUGACCUUGCGCCACUAUUUCGUCUUAAGCUGGCCAGGUAGUCGGGGCCCUGACCGUCUUUCUGUUCUAUGGUGUUUGGGGUCGCAAACACGUGAAGCCAGACCCAUUUACCUUUGCACAAAUGGGCACCAAAAAAAAAAAAAAAAAAAAAAAGAGAGGAAAUGCAAGCAAAUUUAUUAGGUAACCUGAGAAAAUGAAAAGCGCGCGCCAUAGAGAGGUAAUAUCUUUAAAUAAGGAAAAGAUAAAAAUGGCAUGUCACCUCCGAGAAAUCUCAUGCACAGCAAGGAGUUCCACACAUUUUUUUUGUUCCAGGCUCCACCUCUCCACUUGGCCUGUGUUACUUAAUAUUAAUAGAAAAAAGACCUAAAAUCGCAAUAAAAGUCUCUGAUAGUGCCAACUGGCUUAGCAUCAAAAUUGAAAUACAAAAUGCAGUUUCAAAACUUACUUGGUUCUCAGAGCUGCUGGGUAAUUAUUUCCUGUACCUCUCAACAGCACUCAUUUACUCAUUCACUUUGGUUUUGGCCGCUUAGCAUAAUAGGUAAGAAUAUGGACUCUGAAGCCAGAGAGCAUGAGUUUAAGUGCUGACUAUGCAAUUACUUAGCUGAAUGACCUUGAAUUAAUUGAUGUCUCUGUCCCUCAUCCCCCCAUCUGUAAAAUGGGGAUAAUGGUAGGACCUACUUACUAGGGUUGCUGUGGGGAUUAAUAUUUUUAAAGUGCUUAGAGCAGUUUCUGACUCAGAAUAAGAGCUUGGUAAGCUUUUGUUUAAAAAAUAAUAUUUACUAAGUUUGGCUUACUGGGUAUCAGGUAUUGGGACUAGAAUGGUGCAGCAGACAGACUCUAAAGUAACUCCCAUGAUCCCUGCCUCCUGGGUUGUGUAAUCCCCUCCCCUCGAAGGUGGGCAGGACCCAUGACUCACUUCCAAUAGAAUAUGGAAAAGGUGAUGAGAUAAUCAUUCCCAUGAAUACAUUAUGCUAUAUGACAAAAGUGAUGGGAUGUCACUCCAAUUAUUAGGUUAUAUUAUUUAAGACUUUUUGCUAGCAGACUCACUUUGACUUUUUUUUUACUGGCCUUGAAGAAACAAACUGCUAUGUUGAGAACUGCCUAUGGAGAGAGCCACAUGGCAGGGAACUUCACACAUGUUCUAGGAGCUGAGAGUGGCCUCCAGCCAGUAAAAAUACAAAUAAACAAAAAACCCUUAAGUUUGCAGUCCUACAGCCAUGAGGAAAUAAAUUCUGCCAACAA